rnacentral:rRNA from 1 species
AACGAACGCUGGCGGCAGGCUUAACACAUGCAAGUCGAACAGGUGUAGCAAUACAUCAGUGGCAGACGGGUGAGUAACACGUGGGAACCUUCCUAGGGGUACGGAACAACUCAGGGAAACUUGAGCUAAUACCGUAUACGUCCGUGAGGAGAAAGAUUUAUCGCCCUUAGACGGGCCCGCGUCGGAUUAGCUAGUUGGUGGGGUAACGGCCUACCAAGGCGACGAUCCGUAGCUGAUCUUAGAGGAUGAUCAGCCACACUGGGACUGAGACACGGCCCAGACUCCUACGGGAGGCAGCAGUGGGGAAUCUUGGACAAUGGGCGCAAGCCUGAUCCAGCCAUGCCGCGUGAGUGAAGAAGGUCUUCGGAUUGUAAAGCUCUUUUGCCAGGGACGAUAAUGACGGUACCUGGAGAAUAAGCCCCGGCAAACUUCGUGCCAGCCGCCGCGGUAAAAC